rnacentral:lncRNA from 1 species
UUACAACACCGCAUGGAUGAGUUGUUGGAGUAUGGAAGUCGCUAAAUUCGCGUGGUUCAGGAGGUGCCGUUUCAUGCUAACCUUUUGGAGACUAUUCCGUCACCGCCGGUGGUGGACUCUGUGCGUGUUGGCCGUCCCCUACUGGUGGUUGUGGGAAGAGGUUUCGAUCCAAACUCCAAUGUUAGAUCUGUGGUCAGUUUGGGCAUUAGCUCAACGUUUUUAAUAUUGUCAUAAUCGCGACUACAGUGGUCUGACAUUAGUGGCCUGGGCUUCAAAUUCGACCGAUCGUACUAGGCAGGGUUCGGAUGUUGGUUUCUCAUUUCUAUCGCCCGCCUCUAGUCAGUUUGGUGGCCUUUCGUAGACGGCGCCAUCACGAUUUCUUUCUGGUAAAUGGUAGGGUGGUCACUUGUCUACUGCGCCUCCCCUGUAUAUGUCAUACACUAGGGUUUUUAACCCCUUUUUUUUGCGUUUGAUGAUGGAGCAGGCCUACCGCUUGGGCAUUAUGCUGGGUUAAGCCAACCAUUUGGGCUUGGUCAUGAGUAGCGGUUUGAGCCUGGUCAUGAGGCAGUUCACUGGGUUAGGUCCGUAUUUUGGGCUUGUAACUGGGUUCACUCGGCCAUUGGCCAAAAUCUUGGGCCGUCUGUGUGUGGUAGGCCAUCUGGCCCAUGCUAGGACUUUAGGGGUGAUUUUUCUCCAGUUGGGUCCACUGCUAAUGUUUCUCCAAAUGGGCCAACAUUUAAUUGUGUGGAGUUUACAAGCCCUCGUGGUCGUGUACGAGGGCUUGAGCCUUCAGAUGGUGGUGUUUGUACUACGUUUGGGUCAUAUAAUGGGUUGUGUAUUCCCUGGCAGACAAAAAUAAGAGCUCGUGUUUAUAUUGGGUCAGAUCCAUGCAUUGGAUUGCCUCGAAUUCCUGAUUUACAU